CACCACGAUGAGAUAUGAAGUUGAAUCCACGAGAUUCUUAUUCAUGAAGGAAUACUUAUUUUAUACAACAGAUAAGAAAAAUCUACAUUAUUGGGUACAAGUCCAAUCAUCAAAAGAAAAGCAUAGUAUUGCGUGAUAGCAGUUUCUUAGUGGAUAGGUACUUACCUUGCAAUUACUCUUCUGGAAGAAUGAUAAAUAUAUCUUGGUUGCAUAAACCUGAACCGCCGCCAUUUCUCUUUCCACGGCAUCAACGAUCUCCAAUACGCUUUGCGACAGGUGAAUCAGCCAAAGAGUGCACCCUUUACAGCGAAAGAAUUAAUCGGAACGACGGCACAGAACGUGAUCCCGUCAGGUUGAGUCCAGGAGUAGAGGAUCAUGCUGGAGGGGCAGGACGAGGUUGGUCAAGUCCUUCCUUGUCGGGAUCACUCUAGUAGGCGGUACCAACGUGGCCAGGCCUACCUCUCUUCUGACUCGGGUGUAACAAUGGAUCUGCAACAAUAUAAGCAUCUCGUUUUCGUCCGGAUCUAGACUCGCUUCUGUGCUCUUCCUCUGACGUAUACACUGAUACAUGACAAGUAGCCAGCCCAACAAAACGCCGGGACUGAAUAUACAGUCGGUAAUGCGCUAUUGUAUCGACUUUAAAUAUCCGUUGGUUUCAUCUUCCGAGCGGUUUCCGGUAUUCAACGUUCUCCUGAAUCUUCACACGUUAACAGAAACUUUAACACGUGAGGAAAAUUAGACGUUGAUACAAAAAGGUACAAAUAUAGAUACGAAAAAAUAUAUAUCAUGUAUAGGGAAUAUAAUAAGAUGUAUAGUGGAAUCUUUUCUAAGAAUGCAUUUGUUGUAUGCGAUAAUGAGUAAGGAAUAAAAUAGAAUAAAAAAUAAGAGCAAAUAAGCAAAA